CCUACGGGGGGCUGCAGUGGGGAAUAUUGCAUAAUGGGCGCAAGCCUGAUGCAGCCAUGCCGCGUGUGUGAAGAAGGCCUUCGGGUUGUAAAGCACUUUCAGCGGGGAGGAAGGCGUUAAGGUUAAUAACCUUGGCGAUUGACGUUACCCGCAGAAGAAGCACCGGCUAACUCCGUGCCAGCAGCCGCGGUAAUACGGAGGGUGCAAGCGUUAAUCGGAAUUACUGGGCGUAAAGCGCACGCAGGCGGUCUGUCAAGUCGGAUGUGAAAUCCCCGGGCUCAACCUGGGAACUGCAUUCGAAACUGGCAGGCUAGAGUCUUGUAGAGGGGGGUAGAAUUCCAGGUGUAGCGGUGAAAUGCGUAGAGAUCUGGAGGAAUACCGGUGGCGAAGGCGGCCCCCUGGACAAAGACUGACGCUCAGGUGCGAAAGCGUGGGGAGCAAACAGGAUUAGAUACCCGAGUAGUC
rnacentral:rRNA from 1 species